UGUGAUGGGACCAGAGGUUGGAAUGGGAAGAUGGAAGGGCUGCCUUUGUUUUCUUUCACUCCCGGGCCAGGAGCUCUUAACCUGAGGGAUUUGGAGAGCCCAGGGAGCCUGAGGCCGCCCUGAAGUGAUGCAUAAAAUGAGUCAGUGCACAAGCUUUUGUUCAGAUAAGAUUAAAUGCCCUGGAUUCACCCCUUCAGAAUAUUUCAUCAUUGUUCCCAGUCUGUCCAGAUCCUGUGCAUUGGAGCAGAACACUGCUGCAGUGAUUUCAUCACACUUCCAUUGCUACCAGUCCCUAGUAAACCCAGCUUUCAGAAUCAAGAGAAUCUGGUGGCUGACAAGGCUUAAAAACAUCCUAUGAGUUUGGAUCUACAAAAAGGCUGAAAGUGCCACCUACUGUCCACUCCGUAGAAAUGCCCAAAGAAUGUAGUCUGAGCCUUAUGGACUGAGAGUCACAGGAACUAGGAAUUUAAGCCUAAUCUUGAAUCUCAAGUCACUGAGUACAACCAAUGUUCAACCAAAUAUCCAGGAGCAAAUGGAACAGGCUUGGGAGUAAGCCCAAAGAUUAAUACAUGUCAGAGCUGAUGAAUGUUAGAGAUUACCUAGGUCAAUCUCCAAAUCCUCCAAAGAUGUGUGGCAUCUCCAGAUCAUCGCAGAGCCAGGCCCUUUCCAGCACACCCCUGUCACUCAUCCUUCAAUCAUCCAUUCAAUAGUGACAGAAUCAACUCAUGUCAGGUGCCAGCAAAGGACCAUGAGCAAGACAUAGCCCUGCUUUCGCCGCGGGGCAGGCGACUCGCACGGAGGGCCCGGGGCCGGGCGCGAUCCGGAGUGCCCUCCCCACAGGAGCUCUGGGCCCCUGGCCGCCGCAGCGGACGCAGGAACCUAGCAGCCGGGUGCACCCCAAGCAGCCGGGAGGCGGCGAGGAGAGAGCCGGGCGGCCUCCGGGCCCCGGAGACGGUCCCAAUCCCCCG